GAGUGAGCGGCAAGAGCUCAGAUUUGAAAUCGUGCUUUGCGGCACGAGUUGUAGAUUGCAGGUUGGAGUCUGUGUGGAAGGCGGUGUCCAAGUCCCUUGGAACAGGGCGCCCAGGAGGGUGAGAGCCCCGUGGGAUGCCGGCGGAAGCAGUGAGGCCCUUCUGACGAGUCGAGUUGUUUGGGAAUGCAGCUCCAAGCGGGUGGUAAAUUCCAUCUAAGGCUAAAUACUGGCGAGAGACCGAUAGCGAACAAGUACUGUGAAGGAAAGAUGAAAAGCACUUUGAAAAGAGAGUGAAACAGCACGUGAAAUUGUUGAAAGGGAAGGGUAUUGCGCCCGACAUGGGGAUUGCGCACCGCUGCCUCUCGUGGGCGGCGCUCUGGGCUUUCCCUGGGCCAGCAUCGGUUCUUGCUGCAGGAGAAGGGGUUCUGGAACGUGGCUCUUCGGAGUGUUAUAGCCAGGGCCAGAUGCUGCGUGCGGGGACCGAGGACUGCGGCCGUGUAGGUCACGGAUGCUGGCAGAACGGCGCAACACCGCCCGUCUUGA
rnacentral:rRNA from 1 species